rnacentral:rRNA from 1 species
UACUUGUACUGAUUGAGAUUUUAACACGAAGUGAGUGGCGAACGGGUGAGUAACACGUGGGUAACCUGCCCAGAAGUAGGGGAUAACACCUGGAAACAGAUGCUAAUACCGUAUAACAGAGAAAACCGCAUGGUUUUCUUUUAAAAGAUGGCUCUGCUAUCACUUCUGGAUGGACCCGCGGCGUAUUAGCUAGUUGGUGAGGUAAAGGCUCACCAAGGCAGUGAUACGUAGCCGACCUGAGAGGGUAAUCGGCCACAUUGGGACUGAGACACGGCCCAGACUCCUACGGGAGGCAGCAGUAGGGAAUCUUCCACAAUGGACGCAAGUCUGAUGGAGCAACGCCGCGUGAGUGAAGAAGGGUUUCGGCUCGUAAAGCUCUGUUGUUAAAGAAGAACGUGGGUAAGAGUAACUGUUUACCCAGUGACGGUAUUUAACCAGAAAGCCACGGCUAACUACGUGCCAGCAGCCGCGGUAAUACGUAGGUGGCAAGCGUUAUCCGGAUUUAUUGGGCGUAAAGCGAGCGCAGGCGGUCUUUUAAGUCUAAUGUGAAAGCCUUCGGCUCAACCGAANAAGUGCAUUGGAAACUGGGAGACUUGAGUGCAGAAGAGGACAGUGG